GUAAUUUUUUAUAAAAAAAAAGAUUCUCUGAUUGUAGCUUCUGAAAUGUGAAUAUGUUCUAGUUUCUUCACUCCUCUAUGACAGUAAACUGAAUA